rnacentral:rRNA from 1 species
CAGCAGCCGCGGUAAUACGAAGGGUGCGAGCGUUGUUCGGAAUUACUGGGCGUAAAGGGUUCGUAGGCGGAAUUGUAAGUUAGAUGUGAAAACUCUGGGCUCAACCUGGAACGUGCAUCUAAAACUACUUUUCUUGAGUGUUGGAGAGGGCAGUGGAAUUGCUGGUGUAGGAGUGACAUCCGUAGAGAUCAGCAGGAACACCGGAGGCGAAGGCGACUGCCUGGCCGAACACUGACGCUGAGGAACGAAAGCGUGGGAGCAAACAGGAUUAGAUACCCCCGUAGUCCCUGUCUCUUAUACA